rnacentral:rRNA from 1 species
UGGGGAAUUUUGGACAAUGGGCAAAGCCUGAUCCAGCAAUGCCGCGUGUGUGAAGAAGGCCUUCGGGUUGUAAAGCACUUUUGUCCGGAAAGAAAUCCUUGGCUCUAAUACAGUCGGGGGAUACGGUACCGGAAGAAUAAGCACCGGCUAACUACGUGCCAGCAGCCGCGGUAAUACGUAGGGUGCAAGCGUUAAUCGGAAUUACUGGGCGUAAGCGUGCGCAGGCGGUUUGCUAAGACCGAUGUGAAAUCCCCGGGCUCAACCUGGGAACUGCAUUGGUGACUGGCAGGCUAGAGUAUGGCAGAGGGGGGUAGAAUUCCACGUGUAGCAGUGAAAUGCGUAGAGAUGUGGAGGAAUACCGAUGGCGAAGGCAGCCCCCUGGGCAAUACUGACGCUCAUGCACGAAAGCGU